UACGGAGGGUGCAAGCGUUGCUCGGAAUUACUGGGCGUAAAGGGCUCGUAGGCGGCCAACUAAGUCGGACGUGAAAUCCCCAGGCUCAACCUGGGAACUGCGUCUGAUACUGGAUGGCUUGAAUUCGGGAGAGGGAUGCAGAAUUCCAGGUGUAGCGGUGAAAUGCGUAGAUAUCUGGAGGAAUACCGGUGGCGAAGGCGGCAUCCUGGACCGACAUUGACGCUGAGGAGCGAAAGCUAGGGGAGCAAACGGG
rnacentral:rRNA from 1 species